UACGUAGGGGGCAAGCGUUGUCCGGAUUUAUUGGGCGUAAAGAGCGUGUAGGCGGCCUGGUAGGUCAGCUGUGAAAACUCGAGGCUCAACCUCGAGACGCCGGUUGAAACCAUCAGGCUAGAGUCCGGAAGAGGAGAGUGGAAUUCCCGGUGUAGCGGUGAAAUGCGCAGAUAUCGGGAAGAACACCCGUGGCUAAGGCGGCUCUCUGGGACGGUACUGACGCUGAGACGCGAAAGCGUGGGGAGCGAACAGG
rnacentral:rRNA from 1 species